UACGUAGGGGGCGAGCGUUGUCCGGAUUUAUUGGGCGUAAAGAGCUCGUAGGCGGUUCGGUAAGUCGGAUGUGAAAUCUCCACGCUCAACGUGGAGGGGCCAUUCGAUACUGCCGUGACUCGAGUCCGGUAGGGGAGUGUGGAAUUCCCGGUGUAGCGGUGAAAUGCGCAGAGAUCGGGAGGAACACCCGUAGCGAAGGCGGCACUCUGGGCCGGUACUGGCGCUGAGGAGCGAAAGCGUGGGGAGCGAACAGG
rnacentral:rRNA from 1 species